rnacentral:rRNA from 1 species
UUGGGAGCUCUCCCAUAUGGUCGACCUGCAGGCGGCCGCGAAUUCCUAGUGAUUAGAGUUUGAUCAUGGCUCAGAACGAAUGCUGGCGGCAGGCUUAACACAUGCAAGUCGAGCGCCCCGCAAGGGGAGCGGCGCACGGGUGAGUAACGCGUGGGAACAUGCCCUUAGGUACGGAAUAGCCUCGGGAAACUGGGAUUAAUACCGUAUAUGGAGAAAUCUGAAAGAUUUAUCGCCUAAGGAUUGGCCCGCGUUAGAUUAGCUUGUUGGUGAGGUAAUGGCUCACCAAGGCGACGAUCUAUAGCUGGUCUGAGAGGAUGAUCAGCCACACUGGGACUGAGACACGGCCCAGACUCCUACGGGAGGCAGCAGUGGGGAAUAUUGGACAAUGGGCGCAAGCCUGAUCCAGCCAUGCCGCGUGAGUGAUGAAGGCCUUCGGGUUGUAAAGCUCUUUAAUCGAAUUCCCGCGGCCG